UUCUCUAUCGUCUUCUCCAGGUCCCGUAGAGAGGCUCCUCUGUAGGCCUUCUCAAAGUUUUUAUCCACAAAGUAAGGCACCUGCAGGUUCUGUGUUUCUCUAGAGAUGGUGUAGCCCAAGGUCCUGAGACAAGGAGAGAGAGUCUCGGAUGCAGAUCCUCUUUUUCUGAAGACUGUGAUAUCAGGAAGGAGGUGGGGAGAAUGAACAGUUAUUUCCUGUAAUGACAGCCUUUCUAGUAAAGGGCUUUAUGGCAGCAGAAAGCCCACAGGGGAGUGGAGUUUUGGCUCUCCACAGGAAGCAGCCACGCCUAUGACUUCUCAGAGAGAACCCUGCAGUUCCAGCCAAAAAAGCAGUCAAGUGGAACCUCAUCGACAUCAUCAUCAUCAUAAGGAACAGGAAGGCCACUGAAGAGCGUUCAUCCUGGGAACUAGAGAAUCUUUACAAAGAUCCGUCUGCAAUGUGGAAAAUGGGUGCAAGAGAACUGCUGGCUGAGAUGGCCUUCCAGCCUGGAGUGGAUGUUGGCCUGAAUCAAGAAAGAGGCAGUGGGGACAGAGAAGAGGCUGGAUUUGGGAGAGGAGGUGGAACCGGAGCAUCCACAGGACCCGAUGAUGCUUUGGCUGUGAGCUAAGGGAAGGUAAGCAGCCAGAGGACAAGGGAAUGGGUGAGAGAACCCAAAAUUAGGUAAGGCAAGUUGGAGGAAUGUCAGGAAGGGAGGAAGGGAUCCAAUGUGGAAUCUGAAGGGUCUGAGAGGGGCAGGCCACGGUGGGCGUGCCUGCUGCCUGAGGACGUACAGGAUAAGGGUGGGGAAGGUACGGCACAUCGGGGACCCCCAGCGCCCCACACUCGGGUGCGCGCUGAGUCCCCAGUUGGACAGAGGUCAGACGGGCCCAGACUGCAGCUAGGUUCAUACCCUUCCUCUAUCCAUUUGGUCUCCUCCUCCGGCUUCUACCAUUCCCGGCAUGCCUCGGGGGCGAUGACUUCAUGGGGCGCGGGUGCCAAGGCCCCGGCCUCCGCUAGGUGGCACUGCUCCCGUCAGUCCUCGGCCCCGCCUGCCGCGCUCUGUUCUCCGGGAGGAUCGGGAGGACCCGCCCGGCUCCGGCUCCGCCUCAGCCUCCGCCUCCGCCUCAGCCUCCGCCUCCGCCUCCCGCUCCGCCUCCGCCUCCCGCUCCCGCACAGCUUGGGCGACAGGUCUGGCCCUGUCCUGCCAGAACGGUCAGCCUCGGAGCCAGGGCCAUUGGCUGGCUGGCUCUGGACCACCCUCCGGGCUUUUGCCCAGAGAUUGGGUUUUUGCACGUUUCUCAGGGUGCGCAGGUCCGAAACCUGGGCACCAUUCUUGAGAUCCCUGCCAUCCUCACACCCACAUCCAGGCAGUUGUGGAGUGUGGUUGGCCUUUCUGCCUUCUCCAGAACCCUUCCCUGAACUCUGCCCUCUCUCAGAUCUGCCAGCAUAAGUAAAGAGACUCCAGAAUCAGCUCCUAGUUCUGACCUUGAGCAAACAAUCUUCCUUUGCUCCAGAUUCCCUUAAGAUCAGAUGGAAAUAGUAAUACCAUCUCAUAAGAUUGUUGGGAGCCCUAAAGAAUCAUCUUUUUCAUUAUAAAUCAAGUGGUCGAUACACAUCAGCUAUUUGAAUAUUUCUUUGUGUUGCUGGAAUACACUCACUGACCCAAACUCUUCAAUGGCUUCUGACUGCCCUUAGGAUCCAGUCCAAACUUUUAGCUUGGCCUACAAGGCCCUUUCAGUCUCAUUUCCUGUCAUUUCCCAUCUCUUCCUCCCCCACAUCCUUUGUUGUUUUAUCAUAGAAUUCUCUGUGCCUUGACCUGAAUACACUUUUCCCAUUUUCUCUCCUCACUUUUGAAACCCAUCUCAAAAGCCUUCCUGUCAAAUACUUCCCAAUGGUCCCAAAGUUUUAAGAUGCCCAGAACUGGCAUUAUCAGAAACAAAAUGGAAAGACUAAGGAACAAUAUGUCACAAUUAUAAAUAUGUUUGAGCCCUCUGUGCUUAUAGGGACAAAAAUAGCUGCGGAAAUGAUUGAGCUGGAAUAUUAAAAGCAAAGAGGAGGAAGAAGGAACAAAGAAAAGAAGUUUCCCCCACCCUUUAGGCCAACAGGUGCCCAGGCCCUGAGGAGGCCACCUCCCCAGGAACCAAAUCAGGUCUCUAGACAGAACAGGUUUAUAGCUUCUUGGAGGCUAUUGCUACACACCUAUUUAAGCGGCUUUUCCAGAUGUGGAAAUGGAUGCCCCCGAGUCACCUGCCUAUUGACAUCUAGUACCCUGAAAACCAGAGGCUAGCACAUGUGAGGAGACCAACCAGAUCUGGGACAAUGCAAACUGAUGGAGGUCUGAACCCGCAAUCUCUGUGGGUAAUCUGGACCCCAGCAGACCCCUGUAAAUAACCUGAUAAGCCAAUGCUUACACCCAAUGUCCUUCAGCACUACCCCCUCCUAAACCAGGUCACCCAAAGCCUCCCCUGAAUGACGCCAAUCUCAUAGAGGUGAGGGACACAGAGUGUUAAACCUCUUCUGAAUCAUCUGAGUAUUUCGCCAGUACUUACUAAUAUGUGUUCCAGACCUUGGUCUGGGUAAUGGUCAAUAGAUGGGACAGAUAGAAUAGUGUCAUUUUUGCCCUCUUGGGACUCAUAGUCUAAUGGCAGAGAUGAGUAAGCCAUGAAGACAAGAUGUGACAAGUGCUGUGGGAGGAUUAUGUGAACUGAGGACAGGCAGUGUGGUGCAGUGCUUAGAGGCCUAGAUGGGCAGCAGAUGCUACUGUGAGAGUGCUUAGUGCUAAACAUGACAUGACUCUUGAUCUUGGGGUUGUGAGUUCGAGCCCCAUGUUGGGUGUAGAGAUUAUUUAAAAAAUAAAAUCUUAAAAAUUUUUUUUACCCAAGAGGCUGUUGAAGAUGCAGAAGUCUAGUGUCCAGCUUAUCCUCUAAGCCUUCUGCAAGCUUCCCAACAAAUAUGAGCUACCCUCAUUAAAUCUAUGUAGUUAUCAUUCAUAGUACCCCAGAGUAGAGAUAAGCAUCCUCCCCUCCCCCUCACAGGUAGCCUGGGUACAUCGCCUGAACAGAGGACAAUGGAAAGGGAAGGGUGAACAAUGGGAGAAAGACAUGGUGGAAUGCACCUCUCGAGGAAGUAGCCCAGACCUUUAGGAUGCCAGAGAACACCAAAGGGCCCAGCAGGUGGAAAAGGGCUCCUUGAGGACCUGUCUUGGGGGUCUGUUUGCAUGAGAAUGAGAAAGCAUCAGUUAUCCAAAUCAGAGAAAGAGAAGGGGCUACCAGCCCUCCUUGACACUGUCAGGUUGUGUCCCCAACUCUCAAGUUGAUCAAACACACAACCGCUGAUACCAAAGAGUAUCAAAAUAGGGACCACAGAAGUGCUUGGGUCUUCUUUCUUGCUACUGCUUUUCUUUUGACCCAAACUUUUAGAUCUGCUAGGGUUUCUUAUUCUGGAGUUCAUUGGGCCCUAGGGAGACAAGAACUCAUCCAGAGGCUAAAUAUAAAGCCAGUCCAUCAACUCCCAUCUCUAACUAAGUUU